rnacentral:rRNA from 1 species
UAGGGAAUCUUCCACAGUGGACGAAAGUCUGAUGGAGCAACGCCGCGUGAGUGAAGAAGGUUUUCGGAUCGUAAAGCUCUGUUGUUGGUGAAGAAGGAUAGAGGCAGUAACUGGUCUUUAUUUGACGGUAAUCAACUAGAAAGUCACGGCUAACUACGUGCCAC